rnacentral:rRNA from 1 species
GACGGAGGGUGCUAGCGUUGUUCGGAAUGACUGGGCGUAAAAGGGCGCGUAGGCGGCUCGUGAAGUCGGGUGUGAAAGCCCGGGGCUCAACCCCGGAACGGCAUCCGAUACUGGCGGGCUUGAGACCGGGAGAGGAGGGUGGAAUACCCAGUGUAGAGGUGAAAUUCGUAGAUAUUGGGUGGAACACCGGUGGCGAAAGCGGCUCUCUGGCCCGGAUCUGACGCUGAGGCGCGAAAGCGUGGGGAGCAAACAGGG